UCAAGAAACUUCCACAAUGGGCGAAAGCCUGAUGGAGCGACGUCGCGUGAUGGACGAAGUGCUUCGGCACGUAAACAUCUUUUAUGUGGGAUGAAAUUAUUGACAGUACCACAUGAAUAAGGGGCUCCUAACUCUGUGCCAGCAGGAGCGGUAAUACAGAGGCCCCAAGCGUUAUCCGGAAUCACUGGGCGUAAAGGGUGUCGAGGCGGUUGUAUUAGCCGUUCGUAAAAUCUACGAGCUUAACUUGUAGGGGGCGAACGAAACGGUACGACUUGAGGUUUGGAGAGGUGCGUGGAACUCACGGUGUAGGGGUGAAAUCCGUUGAUAUUGUGGGGAACACCAAAGGCGAAGGCAGCGCACUGGCCAAAAUCUGACGCUCACACACGAAAGCUAGGGUAGCGAAGAGGAUUAGAUACCCCGGUAGUCCCUGAGCGGGCUGGCAAGGCGCAU
rnacentral:rRNA from 1 species